rnacentral:lncRNA from 1 species
UUUUGCUUUUGCAUAUAAAUAUUGAUAAGUGCAUUUAACAAGCCUACUUUCCACAAAAAAAAUCAUUUCCUGAUCUAAUCGUCUGAAACAGGAACAACAAUUAAGUUUUGAUAGAGUUAACCUUCAAUCAUAGAAAACAACAUCAAUAAGUGUGUGUGACCUGUUUAAAACAAGAGGCUUCCAAAAGCCUGAAUCGCUCACCUGUAAUUUUUUGGCUUAAAUCUUUCAUCAAUGAUUAUUUUUGCUUUUCAAUAUAUAUUAAUAAGUGGAUGAAUAAUGCCAUUUAAAUAUAUUUAAAUAUUCAUUGUAUCUGUCAUGUAAUUUACCUUUAUGUUCCAUUUGUCAUUGGCGUAAAAGG